UACAGAGGUCUCAAGCGUUGUCCGGAUUCAUUGGGCGUAAAGGGUGCGUAGGUGGCGCCGUAAGUCGGAUGUGAAAUUUCGGAGCUUAACUCCGAAACUGCAUUCGAUACUGCGGUGCUUGAGGACUGGAGAGGAGACUGGAAUUCAUGGUGUAGCAGUGAAAUGCGUAGAGAUCAUGAGGAAGACCAGUGGCAAAGGCGGGUCUCUGGACAGUUCCUGACACUGAGGCACGAAGGCCAGGGGAGCAAACGGG
rnacentral:rRNA from 1 species